GGACCUGCGAGGUCUACCAUGCAAGUCGAGCGGUAACAGAUCCAGCUUGCUGGAUGCUGACGAGCGGCGGACGGGUGAGUAAUGCAUAGGAAUCUGCCCGAUAGUGGGGGAUAACCUGGGGAAACCCAGGCUAAUACCGCAUACGUCCUACGGGAGAAAGGGGGCUCCGGCUCCCGCUAUGGGAUGAGCCUAUGUCGGAUUAGCUAGUUGGUGAGGUAACGGCUCACCAAGGCCACGAUCCGUAGCUGGUCUGAGAGGAUGAUCAGCCACAUCGGGACUGAGACACGGCCCGAACUCCUACGGGAGGCAGCAGUGGGGAAUAUUGGACAAUGGGGGCAACCCUGAUCCAGCCAUGCCGCGUGUGUGAAGAAGGCCCUCGGGUUGUAAAGCACUUUCAGCGAGGAAGAACGCCUAGCGGUUAAUACCCGCUAGGAAAGACAUCACUCGCAGAAGAAGCACCGGCUAACUCCGUGCCAGCAGCCGCGGUAAUACGGAGGGUGCAAGCGUUAAUCGGAAUUACUGGGCGUAAAGCGCGCGUAGGUGGCUUGAUAAGCCGGUUGUGAAAGCCCCGGGCUCAACCUGGGAACGGCAUCCGGAACUGUCAAGCUAGAGUGCAGGAGAGGAAGGUAGAAUUCCCGGUGUAGCGGUGAAAUGCGUAGAGAUCGGGAGGAAUACCAGUGGCGAAGGCGGCCUUCUGGACUGACACUGACACUGAGGUGCGAAAGCGUGGGUAGCAAACAGGAUUAGAUACCCUGGUAGUCCACGCCGUAAACGAUGUCGACCAGCCGUUGGGUGCCUAGCGCACUUUGUGGCGAAGUUAACGCGAUAAGUCGACCGCCUGGGGAGUACGGCCGCAAGGUUAAAACUCAAAUGAAUUGACGGGGGCCCGCACAAGCGGUGGAGCAUGUGGUUUAAUUCGAUGCAACGCGAAGAACCUUACCUACUCUUGAC
rnacentral:rRNA from 1 species